rnacentral:rRNA from 1 species
GACGAACGCUGGCGGCGUGCCUAAUACAUGCAAGUAGAACGCUGAAGAGAGGAGCUUGCUCUUCUUGAAUGAGUUGCGAACGGGUGAGUAACGCGUAGGUAACCUGCCUUGUAGCGGGGGAUAACUAUUGGAAGCGAUAGCUAAUACCGCAUAACAAUGGGUGACACAUGUCAUUUAUUUGAAAGGGGCAAUUGCUCCACUACAAGAUGGACCUGCGUUGUAUUAGCUAGUAGGUGAGGUAACGGCUCACCUAGGCGACGAUACAUAGCCGACCUGAGAGGGUGAUCGGCCACACUGGGACUGAGACACGGCCCAGACUCCUACGGGAGGCAGCAGUAGGGAAUCUUCGGCAAUGGGGGCAACCCUGACCGAGCAACGCCGCGUGAGUGAAGAAGGUUUUCGGAUCGUAAAGCUCUGUUGUAAGUCAAGAACGAGUGUGAGAGUGGAAAGUUCACACUGUGACGGUAGCUUACCAGAAAGGGACGGCUAACUACGUGCCAGCAGCCGCGGUAAUACGUAGGUCCCGAGCGUUGUCCGGAUUUAUUGGGCGUAAAGCGAGCGCAGGCGGUUUGAUAAGUCUGAAGUUAAAGGCUGUGGCUCAACCAUGGUUCGCUUUGGAAACUGUCAAACUUGAGUGCAGAAGGGGAGAGUGGAAUUCCAUGUGUAGCGGUGAAAUGCGUAGAUAUAUGGAGGAACACCGGUGGCGAAAGCGGCUCUCUGGUCUGUAACUGACGCUGAGGCUCGAAAGCGUGGGGAGCGAACAGG